rnacentral:rRNA from 1 species
GACGAACGCUGGCGGCGUGCUUAACACAUGCAAGUCGAACGGAAAGGCCCUGCUUUUGUGGGGUGCUCGAGUGGCGAACGGGUGAGUAACACGUGAGUAACCUGCCCUUGACUUUGGGAUAACUUCAGGAAACUGGGGCUAAUACCGGAUAGGAGCUCCUGAUGCAUGGGGGGGGUUGGAAAGUUUCGGCGGUUGGGGAUGGACUCGCGGCUUAUCAGCUUGUUGGUGGGGUAGUGGCAUACCAAGGCUUUGAGGGGUAGCCGGCCUGGGAGGGUGACCGGCCACAUUGGGACUAAGAUACGGCCCAGACGCCUACGGGAGGCAGCAGUGGGGAAUAUUGCGCAACGGGCGGAAGCCUGAUGCAGCAACGCCGCGUGCGGGAUGACGGCCUUCGGGUUGUAAACCGCUUUCGCCUGUGACGAAGCGUUAGUGACGGUAAUGGGUAAAGAAGCACCGGCUAACUACGUG